rnacentral:rRNA from 1 species
UACGGGAGGGGGCUAGCGUUGUUCGGAAUUACUGGGCGUAAAGCGCGCGUUAGGCGGCUUUGUAAGUUAGAGGUGAAAGCCCGGAGCUCAACUCCGGAACUGACCUUUAAGACUGCAUCGCUGAGAAUUGUGGAGAGGUGAGUGGAAUUCCGAGUGUAGAGGUGAAAUUCGUAGAUAUUCGGAAGAACACCAGUGGCGAAGGCGGCUCGCUGGCUCGAUACUGACGCUGGAGGUGACGAAAGCGUGGGGAGCAAACAGG